rnacentral:rRNA from 1 species
GACGAACGCUGGCGGCGUGCUUAACACAUGCAAGUCGAACGGAAAGGCCUUGCUUUUGUGGGGUGCUCGAGUGGCGAACGGGUGAGUAACACGUGAGUAACCUGCCCUUGACUUUGGGAUAACUUCAGGAAACUGGGGCUAAUACCGGAUAGGAGCUCCUGCUGCAUGGUGGGGGUUGGAAAGUUUCGGCGGUUGGGGAUGGACUCGCGGCUUAUUAGCUUGUUGGUGGGGUAGUGGCUUACCAAGGCUUUGACGGGUAGCCGGCCUGGGAGGGUGACCUGCCACAUUGGGACUGAGAUACGGCCCAGCCUCCUACGGGAGGCAGCAGUGGAGAAUAUUGCACAAUGGGCGGAAGCCUGAUGCAGCAACGCCGCGUGCGGGAUGACGGCCUUCGGGUUGUAAACCGCUUUCGCCUUUGACGAAGCGUGAGUGACGGUAAUGGGUAAAGAAGCACCGGCUAACUACGUG